rnacentral:lncRNA from 1 species
GCAAUUUUGUGCCUCAGACCCAAGUCAACUGGUGUCCCCAGCAUUCUGUCAUGUAAGGUAUCUGCUCUACCCUCUGCCCCUUGGAAAGCCCUCUGGCCUCAAGCAAUGCAAAGCUAAUGAGUACUGAAAGCUGUUGGGAAAGGAGCUAAGAAAGAAGGGGUGCCCCACCCUCUGGACUAUAAAGUGACUGUGUAAGAGGCUGGGAGAGAGUAGAGUGGACAGCUGAAACGUGCUAC